GUCCAGACUCCUACGGGAGGCAGCAGUGGGGGAUAUUGCACAAUGGGGGGAACCCUGAUGCAGCGACGCCGCGUGGGUGAAGAAGCGCCUCGGCGCGUAAAGCCCUGUCAGCAGGGAAGAAAAUGACGGUACCUGAAGAAGAAGCCCCGGCUAACUACGUGCCAGCAGCCGCGGUAAUACGUAGGGGGCAAGCGUUAUCCGGAUUUACUGGGUGUAAAGGGGGCGCAGACGGCGAUGCAAGCCAGGAGUGAAAGCCCGGGGCUCAACCCCGGGACUGCUUUGGAAACUGCCUGACUGGAGUGCUGGAGAGGCAAGCGGAAUUCCUAGUGUAGCGGUGAAAUGCGUAGAUAUUAGGAAGAACACCAGUGGCGAAGGCGGUCUGCUGGACAGCAACUGACGCUGAGGCGCGAAAGCGUGGGGAGCAAACAGGAUUAGAUACCCCGGUAU
rnacentral:rRNA from 1 species